GACGAACGCUGGCGGCGUGCUUAACACAUGCAAGUCGAACGGAAAGGCCCCUUUGGGGGUACUCGAGUGGCGAACGGGUGAGUAACACGUGAGUAACCUUCCCUUGACUUCGGGAUAACUUCAGGAAACUGGGGCUAAUACCGGAUAGGAAUCCUUGCUGCAUGGUGUGGGUUGGAAAGCUUCGGCGGUUUUGGAUGGACUCGCGGCUUAUCAGCUUGUUGGUGGGGUAGUGGCUUACCAAGGCUUUGACGGGUAGCCGGCCUGAGAGGGCGACCGGCCACAUUGGGACUGAGAUACGGCCCAGACUCCUACGGGAGGCAGCAGUGGGGAAUAUUGCACAAUGGGCGGAAGCCUGAUGCAGCAACGCCGCGUGCGGGAUGACGGCCUUCGGGUUGUAAACCGCUUUCAGCAGGGGCGAAGCUUGUGGUGACGGUACCUGCAGAAGAAGCACCGGCUAACUACGUG
rnacentral:rRNA from 1 species